rnacentral:tRNA from 5 species
GGUUGCCGGGAUAGCUCAGUCGGUAGAGCAGAGGA